ACAGUCACAUCUCUUUGAAACACUGGUUCCCGUACGAUCGCCGAAGUUAAGCAACGUCGGGACUGGUCAGUACCUAGAUGGGUGACCGCUUGGGAAUACCAGGUGCUGUAAG